rnacentral:rRNA from 1 species
AGCAGCCGCCGCGGUAAUACGAAGGGUGCAAGCGUUAAUCGGAAUUACUGGGCGUAAAGCGUGCGUAGGCGGUUUGUUAAGUCUGCUGUGAAAUCCCCGGGCUCAACCUGGGAAUGGCAGUGGAUACUGGCAAGCUAGAGUGUGUCAGAGGAUGGUGGAAUUCCCGGUGUAGCGGUGAAAUGCGUAGAGAUCGGGAGGAACAUCAGUGGCGAAGGCGGCCAUCUGGGACAACACUGACGCUGAGGCACGAAAGCGUGGGGAGCAAACAGGAUUAGAUACCCCUGUAGUCCCUGUCUCUUAUAC